rnacentral:rRNA from 1 species
GUCUUUAUGAGUUUAAUGUAAAGUCUAACCUGCCCAAUGAUAUAAAUUUAAUGGCCGCGGUAUUUUGACUGUGCGAAGGUAGCAUAAUAAUUAGUCUUUUAAUUGGAGGCUGGAAUGAAAGGUUGAACAAGAAGUUGACUGUCUCUAAAUUAAAUCUUGAAUUUAACAUUUAAGUGAAAAGGCUUAAAUAUUUUAAGGGGACGAUAAGACCCUAUAAAUCUUUAUACCUAAAUUUAUAAAUCAAAAAAAAUAUUAAUUUUUGUUUGAUAAGCUUAGGUAUUUUGUUGGGGCGACAAAAGCAUAAAAUGUAACUGCUUUAAAAUAAUAGUUAAAUGGUGUUUAGUUAAGUGAUCCUUUAAUAAGGAUAAUAGAUUAAGUUACUUUAGGGAUAACAGCGUAAUUUUUUUUGAGAGUUCAUAUCGAAAAAAAAGUUUGCGACCUCGAUGUUGAAUUAAAGAUCCUUUGUGGUGCAGAAGCUAUGAAAGGAGGUCUGUUCGACCUUUAAAUCUUUACAUGAUUUGAGUUCAGACCGGCGUAAG